GACGAACGCUGGCGGCGUGCUUAACACAUGCAAGUCGAACGGAAAGGCCCUGCUUUUGUGGGGUGCUCGAGUGGCGAACGGGUGAGUAACACGUGAGUAACCUGCCCUUGACUUUGGGAUAACUUCAGGAAACUGGGGCUAAUACCGGAUAGGAGCUCCUGCUGCAUGGUGGGGGUUGGAAAGUUUCGGCGGUAGGGGAUGGACUCGCGGCUUAUCAGCUUGUUGGUGGGGUAGUGGCUUACCAAGGCUUUGACGGGUAGCCGGCCUGAGAGGGUGACCGGCCACAUGGGGACUGAGAGACGGACCAGACUCCUACGGGAGGCAGCAGUGGGGAAUAUUGCACAAUGGGCGGAAGCCUGAUGCAGCAACGCCGCGUGCGGGAUGACGGCCUUCGGGUUGUAAACCGCUUUCGCCUGUGACGAAGCGUGAGUGACGGUAAUGGGUAAAGAAGCACCGGCUAACUACGUG
rnacentral:rRNA from 1 species